rnacentral:rRNA from 1 species
AUUGAACGCUGGCGGCAGGCCUAACACAUGCAAGUCGAACGAGUGGCGGACGGGUGAGUAAUGUCUGGGAAACUGCCCGAUGGAGGGGGAUAACUACUGGAAACGGUAGCUAAUACCGCAUACCAUCGGAUGUGCCCAGAUGGGAUUAGCUAGUCGGUGGGGGAAUGGCUCACCUAGGCGACGAUCCCUAGCUGGGCUGAGAGGAUGACCAGCCACACGGGAACUGAGACACGGUCCAGACUACUACGUGAGGCAGCAUUGGGGAAUCUUGCACAAUGGGCGCAAGCCUGAUACAGCCAUGCCGCGUGAAUGAAGAAGGCCUUCGGGUUGUAAAGUACUGUCAGCGAGGAGGCGUUACUCGCAGAAGAAGCACCGGCUAACUCCGUGCCAGCCGCCGCGGUAAUUC